rfam:Triticum aestivum genome assembly, contig: Triticum_aestivum_CS42_TGACv1_scaffold_640738_T_7AS-0.124927_1AL-0.072544
AUACUACUCCCUCCGUCCGGAAAUACUUGUCUUAGACAUGGAUAAAAUGCAUGUAUCUAUAACUAAAAUAAGUCUAACACCAUUUCUAGGACAAGUAUUUCCGGACGGAGGGAGUAUAUA